rnacentral:lncRNA from 1 species
UGAUUCUAAAAGCAAAGUAAUAAUUAUAGAAAGAUCAAGUUGCAUAAAUAUUGAAGGUAAAUAAGAGUUUAAUAAUGGAGAUUUAAAUCUCCCAAUUCAUCACAAAUCGGAAAUUCACCAACUUCAACUAGAAAAGAAUGGAAUUUAGCCACUCAUGGUGGACUAAAUCACAAAAGAAAGAAGAAAAGAAAGAAGGAGAAUUUCUGCCAAGAAUCUCUGCUGUGGAGAGAAGAUAUGUUUGCUGGUUUGGGCUGCCUCCUUUUAUAGGUGAGGAAUCCCAAUCCAAUUAGGUUUUGGAAUCCUAAAUUGGAUUGGUCCUUGUCUUUGAUCUCUUCUUUAAUUGUGAAUAAAUCUUCUUCUUGAGGAGGUCUAUCUUGAGAGUGACUCUUUGAGAUGCCCUAGGAUUGAUCUUGAAGUGUUUGAGAGGGGUUAGGACUUCUUUAUUUUAAAUCUUGAAUUUUUGCACUUUCCCGCUUCUGCUGUAUUUUCUGCUGUCAAUGUGAUUGGGGCGGGUGAUUUGGGCAGAUCACUUGCCCCAAUCGCUUUUCCGUGAGUCAGUCCAGCUUUCAGCUUUCUGUCUCUGCGAGUGAUUUGGGCAGGCAAUUUGGGCAGAUCACUUGCCCAAAUCCCUUCUGACUGUUGCCUCCAGGUUUCUACUUCAGUUUGAUCUGGGCAGUGAUUUGGCCAAAUCGCUUUGACCCAAUCACUUUUCCAGCUUUUUCUGCACUUUUUCUCCAACUUUCCAUUUUCUUCAUUUUCUGUAAAAACAAGACAAAAACCAUAAAUUAAGCUAGAAAAUGUGUAAUUAAACAGUAAUAAAUAUACUAAAAAUGUGGCUAAAUUAUGCUUGAUCAAAUACCCCCACACCUAGCUUUUUGCUUGUCCUCAAGCAACAAAUAACUUAGUCAAUCAAGCUCCUCAUUCUUUUGAGCCUAAGUACCACUUAAUCAGCCCCCCCCUAAAUUCCCAAAUUGAAGUAUUACAGUAUAGAGUACAUGCACUAAGGUUGUUCUCCCUUUUCCUUGUUUCCUUUCACCUACCAUGGCCAAGAGAAAGGUUUUUGGUUCAACCAUGCGUAUUCUCCUUGUAUAAGCUCAAUGCAACAUCUAAGAGUGAUUUGCCCUUCUUUUUAAUCACACUUUUUAUUCAGCAGCACUUAUUUAUUCUUGCCUGAAAAAUUCACCAACCUUUUUACGCGAAGGUGCAUAUUGGUGAUACCCACCCCCGGUUACUCAGUUAGUCACUUGUUCAAGUCGCUACUAGCUCUGUUCAUAGUUCAUUUGACCAUUGGAACAGGUUUAUGAUUUGUGUUUUGUGCUGGUUUUUCUUUUUCUUUUCUUUUCAUAACAGUUUGGGCAAAUCACCUCAUAGGGAGUUACACUAACUUUUUAUUUGCAUGUAUUUAUAUUUUUAUUUCCCUUGACCACAACACAUUUAAGGAUUCAAUUCAAGAAAAGAACUUCUUAAGGGAAGGUAACUGUAAUACCCGGCUAGACUCCGGUAUCGGAAUUCCUACCGUCUGGUGGAAUCUCGGAUGUCGGAAGCCUCUAGAAGGGGAAAAUCAUGUUUUCAUAGAAUGUUUUAAUGAGUUUUAUGUUGUAAGCAUGAAAGAAAAUGAUUUUUUGCAUGAAAAUAGCAUUUGAGGAAAACUCAGGUUGGCCGCCGAACCUCAAGUUCGGCCGCCGAACAUGCAUGCAUUGCGGGUGUGCUUUAGGCCCCCGAAAGCAUAAGUGAGGGAAGUCCAGGUUCGGCCGCCGAACCUCAUGUUCGGCCGCCGAACAUGGCAUGCAUGCGGAGGCACAUUCGGCCCCCGAACGUGGUCUGGCCAGCCACUAUAAAAGGGUCCCUUAGCCGAAAACGGGCGAGCUUUUUCCCCAUUUUCGGCCAAGGUGAGCUCUCCGCCGUCCCUCACCAAUCUUUGAUAUUUUCCUCUAGAUCUUUCAAGAUUUUCAUUUGUUUUAACUUUGUUUUGAAGAUUUGAGCUUUUGAGCAAAGUUUUGGAGCUUGGAGGUUCAAGAACCCUCUCUCUCCCACCUCCGAGUUUUAGGUCGUCUCUCUCUCGAUCUUCAAGAGGUAAGAGCCGAUCUUAAACUCAUUGCAUGUUUAAAGUAAGUUUUAAGUAGAUCUUUGGGGGUAGAAUGCAUGUUUAGGUUAUAGUUAUGUUUAUGGGUAUAAAUGUAUGUUCUUGAGCAAUGUGGAUGCUUGAUGUGUUGUAGAUGGGGUUUAUGAUGGUUUGAGGCCCCUAGGAACAUGUAUGCUGGUGUAUGUGUGUUGUAGAAUAGGUUUGAUGCAUGUUUGGAAGGUUUGGAGGCGAAAUGUGCAAAGGGAGCCAAGUUUCUGCCCUUUGGCAGAAACCAGGUUCGGCAGCCGAAGGACUUUCGGCCGCCGAACAUGGCUGGGGAGGCAGCCUUUCGGCUGCCGAAGCUUGCCCCCGAGAGGAGACUUUCGUCUCUGUCGGGCAGUUUCGGCCGCCGAAAGUGCCGCCGAACAUGCAUGAGUUUCGUCUUUGUCUGGGAGUUUCGGCCGUCGAAGGUGCCGCCGAACCUGCCUGACUUUCGGCUCUGGAGGGACUUUCGGCCGCCGAACCUGCCGCCGAAAGUGCCCUGUACAGGCCUCCUUUGCAUGAUUUUGUAUGGUUGUCUCAUGAUGUUUUAGGGGGUUCUUGGGGAUUAAUUUAUAGUUAUGUUCAGGUGUGUUUGGUCCCUCAUUUGAGUCCACCUGUGUAGGUUCAGACCCGAGGAACCGAGGACCCCAGCAGUGAGUUCGGCUGCUUCGGUGUUGUCAGAGUCUGCCAGAGGUGAGUGGAACUAAACUUAAUCUCUUAAAUUGAGAAAUUAAAUGUUUUAUCAUGUUUCAUGCAUCAUGAUUAUGCAAUAGGGUGAUUGCAUUAGUUUUCAAGAAUAUGCCGCAUUGCAUCGAUUGUUGUUGAUGUGGGUGAAUAUUGGAUGACCCAAUUAGUCCAUGACAGGAAGACCAGGACCCCAUUCUACGGCCUGGCAUAGAGUAAGGAAAGACCAGGACCCCAUUCUACGGCCUGGCACGGUUAUGGGACUCGAAGACCAGGAGCCCAGAGGAGGCCCUGAGGCAAUGGUAAGUAAUGUAUGUUAUGACAGGAAGACCAGGACCCCAUGCUACGGCCUGGCACAGAGUUAACUUGGACUAAUUGGUGACAAGUUCACCCAACCCUUAUGUGAAUUGUCUGUGUUAUGAUGCAUUUCAUAGAGCAUAGUGUUAAUAUGUUUUAUAGUUCUGCUCACUGGGCUUUUAGCUCACCCCUCUCCCUUUACCCCCAGGCUUGCAGGUUCAGGAUAGAGCAGGAGUCCGGAUAGAGUAAUGAAGUUUUGUUUAUGUAAUAGCUAGCAAUGGACAUGAUCAAAUUGUAAUGUAAAGUCUUAAUCAGUAUAGUUAUGUAAUGAGAUGAUGUUUAUGGAUGUUAGAAGCGUGCUUGACCAUAGAUUGUUGUUAUCCCUUUUAAUACAUGAUCUUAGAGAUUUUUAUGAUGUUUAUGUAAACCAACUCAACAUAUGUUAUGUCACCCAUUGGGGGCACUGAUGAUAUCCCACAGAGGGAUCAAUGUUUAUGAUUUAUGUUAUGUACAGUGCAUGCACAGGUUGAGUUGGGUUGAUGUAUAUGGAAAGAAAAGUUUUUAAUUUUUAUGCAUGUUGUUGAUCAUGUAUGGGAUUAUACAGGUUUACAGGUUUCAUGUCAGGCUUGCUACGGGUCCCGACGGCCUUAAGCCGAUCUGGAUCCUAGCGCCGGUAGCGGUCCGAUUUUCGGGUCGUUACAGUAACACACUGUAAUUGAUUCAAUUUAGGCUUAAAGGGGUGGAAAAUCAAUGGAGUUAUGAGAUAGGAAGCUUUUUUUAACCUUGUUAUCUAUGCUGAGUAGAGCAAUAGCUAAGACAAAAUUCUCUGUGUGUGUGCAGGAAGUGAAAAAUUUGUGUAAAGAAUUUUGGUGUGUGUUUAUGGGGAAAAAAAGAUGCAAAAAGAAACAAAAAGAAAGCAAAAAGAUAAUGUAAACGAAAAAAAUAUAACCUAACAGUAAAUACCCCCACACCUAUCCCAAACAUUUUCCUCAAUGGUUAAACAUUUAUAUUAAAAAAAAAUUAAUAAGGAGAAGGAAAGGGACUGCCUGAUCUGUGGGCGAUUUGGCCAAUGAUUUGGGCAAAUCACUUGCCAAAUCACUGUCUGUCAUGGUGGUGGGACAGAAAAUGGUCCACCAGCAGCUGCAGCAUGCUUUCCAUGUGAUGCAUCCUGUCUUCGAUUCUGGUGAGAUGAGCCUCCACCGAAUGGUCUUGAGGUGCCUUUUAUGUCCUCCAAGGUCCACCCAAUUGCUUCUUUGUGCUUCCUCAACACUUCUAGGAGUUUUUCUUCUUCUUGUGGGCUGAGCUGGUUGGAAAUUAUAACUGGAAGUGUAUUUCCAGCUCCCAAGAAGGCAUAUUUGAGGUGUUCUGGUAAGGGCUUCAGAUCUGGUGCAUUUGCUGUCUGCUGGUUUCCUGUCUGCUGUCUGCUGGUUGAUUUGGGCAGAUCAUAUGGUGUUGUUUCAGGUGAUCUGGGCAGAUCACUGUCUGUCUUGUUUGUCUGCUCCAGUGAUUUGGGCAAAUCACCUGCAACCAGCUGUGAACAGUACUCCAUCUGGUCUGUCUUGGUGCUGCUGCUGUCUGUCUCUUCAGAUCUGCACAAGUCAGCAUUGAGUGUGUCCUCUAGAUCAAAGUCAAAAAUUUCUUGACUUAAAUCAUCAAUUAUAUCAAGGCCAUAAACAGGAGAAACAUCAUUGGGGAAUUUCAUAGCAUCAUAAACAUUAAACUUGAUAGCUUCCCCUUCAAACUCCAUGGUCAAUGUGCCAUCAUGCACAUCAAUUUUUGUUCUGGCUGUGCUCAAGAAUGGUCUCCCAAGUAGGAUGUCAAAGGUGACUUUGUCCUUAUCCUCCUCCAUGUCAAUCACAUAAAAAUCUGCUGGGAAGACUAGUUGGUUAACUUGUACCAACACAUCUUCUAGCACGGAUAGACGACGGAUCGGUCAGCCAAUUGGAUCCCAAUGCUGGUGCCCUUGAGUGUGCCUGCAUUCAACAAGUUAAAGAUGGAAAGGGGCAUGACAUUGAUUGAAGCCCCAAGGUCACACAUGGCCUUCUUUAUCCCAACGUUGCCUAUUUUGCAUGAAACAGCGAACAUUCCUCUAUCCUUGCAUUUGGUUGGAACUUUUCUUUGAAUGACAGCUGAGACACACUCCCCCACACUUACCUUUUCACAUUCAUCAAGUUUCCAUCGGUUGGUGCAUAGCUCUUUGAGAAACUUGGCAUACCUUGGAAUUUGCUUCACAGCAUCUAAUAGGGGAAUGUUGAUUUCUACCUUGCGGAGUGUCUCAAGUAUUUCUUUCUCCUCUUUCUCCUUUUGGGACCUUGUAAAUCUCUUUGGAAAGGGAGGAGGUACAGCUGGUCUGCCUUGGUCUGUUUGGAGCUAGACUCUGCCUGGAUUAUUGAUUUGGGCAGAUCGAAUUCUGCCUUGUCUGGUGAUUUGGGCAGAUCACUGCUGGGCAGCUCAGUCUGCCUAGCGAUUGGGUCAGUGAUUUGGGCAGAUCGACUGCCCUGAUUACUUUCUGGCAGAUUCUCCUCCAUGGCUUGUUUCUUCAAUUUCUCAGCCUUGCUGUCUUGCAGCUCUUUUCCACUCCUCAAUGUGAUGGCACUAACAUUUUGUCUUGGAUUUAUCUCAGUUUGGGAUGGUAGCUUCCCUUGUGACUCCCAUUUGCUCAUUGAAGUGGCCAUUUGGCUCACUUGUUGCUCAAGAUUUUGCACAGUAUUUGCUAAGGACUUCACAAUCUCUUCAAAGGGUGUAUUGGAAUUUUGAGGUGCAGCUUGGGCUGGAUUCCAUUGCUGAUAGCUUGGAUAUGGAUUGGCCCUUGCAUAGUCAUAAUUCGGGUGGUCCCUCCAACAUGGAUUGUAGGUAUCAAGGUAAGGAUCAUGUCUUGGCUGGCUAUUGAAUCCUUCAAAGGCACGUACUUGCUAGUAAUCCUCAUAAAGUGUAGGACAUCGAUCAGUUGGGUGUCCUACAUAUUUGCAAAUCUCACAUGGUCUGAUUCGCUGAAGUUGUUGAACUUGUUGAGCUUGACCUAUACCAUAAUUUCUCACAACAGAGCUUAGUUCAGAAAUUUGAGAAGAGAGAAAAGACAUACUUACCGUAGCCAUGCUUGUAAGGUCUUGGCAAUGCGUUCAAUUUCUGGAUCGUAAAGAAGAGCUUGUUUACGAUCAGCCCUGGUCAUAAAAAGGAAAAUACGUUAGUUAGAUCAAAUCCCCGGCAACGGCGCCAAUUUUUGAUAGCGGUUGUCCAAGCCGUAAAAAAUAAACCUAUUAUCAACCAACAAAAUAAAUUGCAGAUAGUGGCAAUAGGGUCGAACCACAGGGAUUUGACACUACGAAUUUUUCUAUUAAUGACUUGGACAAGUAAAUAACAAGUAAUUAAAAGAGGGGGGUUUGAUUUGAUGAAUUAAUAUUAAAUAGCAAGAGAAAGCAAUAAUUUAAAAAGAUGAGAAUUUCAAUGGGAGAAGGAUUCUAGUUGAAGCAUGGAUCUAUUUCAGCUUGUUUAGAAUUGAUCAUUUAUCUUUUUGAUACUCUUAUCUAUUUCAAUAACUUAGUUUAGGACGUGGAAGACGCUUCUCACAAUCCAAAUUCCUCCUUAGUUUUAGUUUGACUAGGAAACGUUCGCUACUCAAACUCUAGUUAACAAGUUGCCAAAGAACGUCCUUGGGGCUUUUAGCAUCGAACAACUGUUAACUGUAUUAGGACUUAGAGGAACCCAACUCUAACCUUGCCAACCGCGUGGUCAAGUUUAGAUUAUACAACCGAUUAUAUUUGUGUUUAAAUAAUCUAAGCAAUUACGGACCUAAAUUAUUCAAACAAUAUAUUACUCAAGCAAUUUAAAAGCAACAGGCCUUAAUUGAUUCUAAAAGCAAAGUAAUAAUUAUAGAAAGAUCAAGUUGCAUAAAUAUUGAAGGUAAAUAAGAGUUUAAUAAUGGAGAUUUAAAUCUCCCAAUUCAUCACAAAUCUGAAAUUCACCAACUUCAACUAGAAAAGAAUGGAAUUUAGCCACUCAUGGUGGACUAAAUCACAAAAGAAAGAAGAAAAGAAAGAAGGAGAAUUUCUGCCAAGAAUCU